rnacentral:rRNA from 1 species
GUCCACGCCGUAAACGAUGGGUGCUAGGUGUCACGGGCUUUGACUCCUGUGGUGCCGUAGCCAACGCAUUAAGCACCCCGCCUGGGAAGUACGGCCGCAAGGCUAAAACUCAAAGGAAUUGACGGGGCCCGCACAAGCGGUGGAGCAUGUGGUUUAAUUCGACGCAACGCGAAGAACCUUACCUGGGCUAGAAAACGUAGGAACCUGGGAGAAGUCUCGGGGUGCUCUUCGGAGAAUCUGCGGUUAGGUGCUGCAUGGCUGUCGU